GCAAUAACAGGUGCAAUAAAGAGUGCUGGACUUAGAAAAAACUAUUUUACUUCUAUAUUACCAUGUUUGUAAUCAUAUAUGCUGUUCUGUUCUCCCUGGCCAUGGAACCAGUUCUGGGAAUCACCCUGGAGCAAAAGGAUUACUCCGUUACCAAAGGCGAGGGCAAAACUGUGUAUAUCAGCUGCGAGGUGACCGGAUUGUCUAGUGGUGAUUAUGUCCACUGGUACCAAAAGAAAGAAGGAGAAGCUCUCACAAGGAUCCUGUAUGUCAAAAGUGGAAGCCAGGAACCUCUUUAUGAUGCUAACUUUCAUGAAGCACAGGAAUUUGAUGUGAGGACACAGUUUAAUAAUUAUGACCUGAAAAUAGCAGAGCUGAAGAAAAAGCACUCUGCAGUUUAUUACUGUGCCAGCUGGGACUCUCACAAUGAUAGAAAAUAUUCACAGUGUGUGCAAAAACCCCAAUGUUCUACAAGCACAACAGGAAAUGAUAUUUGCACAAGUAGUGUAUAA